rnacentral:sRNA from 1 species
CGACGAAGGGAGAGUCUUUUCAGCGCUGAGGACUGGCGCUGAGGAGGCGGCGGUGGCUCCCGGGGCGUUUGAGCGGGCUCACCCGAGCCCGCGGGCCAACGCGGAUCCAGGCCCGACUGGCGGGACCGCCCCGGACUCCCCGCGGGCCUUCCUAGCCGCCAUGGAGGACGGCGUCUAUGAACCCCCAGACCUGACUCCGGAGGAGCGGAUGGAGCUGGAGAACAUCCGGCGGCGGAAGCAGGAGCUGCUGGUGGAGAUUCAGCGCCUGCGGGAGGAGCUCAGUGAAGCCAUGAGCGAGGUGGAGGGGCUGGAGGCCAAUGAGGGCAGUAAGACCUUGCAACGGAACCGGAAGAUGGCAAUGGGCAGGAAGAAGUUCAACAUGGACCCCAAGAAGGGGAUCCAGUUCUUGGUGGAGAAUGAACUGCUGCAGAACACACCCGAGGAGAUCGCCCGCUUCCUGUACAAGGGCGAGGGGCUGAACAAGACAGCCAUCGGGGACUACCUGGGGGAGAGGGAAGAGCUGAACCUGGCAGUGCUCCAUGCUUUUGUGGAUCUGCAUGAGUUCACCGACCUCAAUCUGGUGCAGGCCCUCAGGCAGUUUCUAUGGAGCUUUCGCCUACCCGGAGAGGCCCAGAAAAUUGACCGGAUGAUGGAGGCCUUCGCCCAGCGAUACUGCCUGUGCAACCCUGGGGUUUUCCAGUCCACAGACACGUGCUAUGUGCUGUCCUUCGCCGUCAUCAUGCUCAACACCAGUCUCCACAAUCCCAAUGUCCGGGACAAGCCGGGCCUGGAGCGCUUUGUGGCCAUGAACCGGGGCAUCAACGAGGGCGGGGACCUGCCUGAGGAGCUGCUCAGGAACCUGUACGACAGCAUCCGAAAUGAGCCCUUCAAGAUUCCUGAGGACGACGGGAAUGACCUGACCCACACCUUCUUCAACCCGGACCGGGAGGGCUGGCUCCUGAAGCUGGGUACGUGCCCUCCCGACCCCGCUGGUCCCUCCGCAGGAGGACAUUUGUGGGCCUGGGCCCUGGACUCAGCUUCCGCACAAACCUGCUGCCUGAACUGAGGCAAAUGAUUCGACCUCUCUGAACCUCAGUUUUCCACACCCAAAAAAUGGGGCUGAAAAUAAAAUCAGGCCUGUGUGCUGGGCCUGGCCUGUAGUAAGUACUUCCCAACCCCUUCUCUUGACCCACAAAUGUUGAUGGAGCCCUUCUGUGCCAGGCCCUGAGCUGGGCUGAGGAGGCAGAGAGGCAGCUGACAUUGUCCUUUCUUGGGAGAAGAGUUCACUCAGGCUUCUUUCCACUGCGUUAACCCAGCCUGAGGGAGCCAAACCCCUGGAAUCUAUUCCCCUUGGCAAGAACUCCCAGGGUCCCAGGCAGGACUGACCCCGCACUCCAAGGCAUCAGGCCCAGAGCACUUGCUGAUCCAGGUGCCAUCCUUCCCGAAACACCACCCACAGGCAGAAAAGAGCCAAACAGGCCAGGAAACCUGUCCCAGAUUCUGGCUUCCAGCUGUGGAGGGAAUAGCCAGGGCUGGUGCAGAUGAGUCGGGAAACCCAGCAGAGAUGGAGGGGGGAGUCUUCGUCAUAACACGUGGCACUGGCACAUUCAAGGUCGGUUAGCAUGGAUCAGACAGGAUCGUAGCAUGAUGAGGGGUUAGCACAAGGACUGGAGUGGUUCUCAGCCCUGGCUGUACAUGAGAUUUGCCUGGGCACCUCGAAAACUCCGGUGGCUGGGCCAUAGACUCCUGAAGUCAGGCUCUCAGGAGCAGAAGGGCCAUCAGUCAUUGUUUAAGCUCCUCGGGUGCUCCCAAUGCAUAGUCAAGGUUGAGAGCUGCUGGCCUGGAGCCGUGCCUGGUAACAGUAGGUGCCACCUGCGUGUUAGAUGUGGUUUAUAAUGGAGACACGGUGCACAGCUGCUCCAGAGAGACACAUCUGGGCAGUUACAGUCCAGCACAGCAGUGGAGGCUUCCCACGGCAGCAGGAGAGCCCACAGGAAGCUUUCAGCUCAGUGAAGGGAGUCAAGGUCAGGCUUCUUGGAAGGAGGUUGGACAGGGCAGCUUUGGCCUCUGAGUCUUGGGGGCCUCCUCAUGUGGAACUGUGCUCUUAAACCAGGGCAUCACCACCUCAACAGAUGCCAGGGUUUCCUGGUAAAUAUAAAAUACACAAGUCAGGCAGGGCACAGGGGCCCACCCCUGUAAUUUCAGCACUUUGGGAGGACAAAGCAGGAGGAUUGUUAGAGGUCAGGAGUUUGAGACCAACCUGGGCAAUAUAAUGAUACCCCGCAUCUCUACAAAAAAUAAAAAAAUUAGCCAGGCAUGGUGAUGUAGGAGGAUUGUUUGAGCUCAAGUGGUCGAGGCUUCAGUGAGUCGUGAUUGUGCCACUGCAGUCCAGCCUGGGCAACAGAGCGAGACCCCGUCUCUAUAAAAUAAAAAUAAAACAUGCAAAUCACUGUCCAGCCAGCACCCCAGUCCAGAUCCCUGCAUUCGAUCCAAGGGAGGCAGACUGCUGGGGGAAAUUGAGAGUCCUCGAGGUGCCCCUGGCAGUGAGCGGGCCAGAAAGAGAAGCAGGAAGGCGCCAGCAUCACGAGGAACUGCUUCCCUCAAAACUGCUGUCAGGCCAGGCACGGUGGCUCAGGCCUGUAAUCCCAGCACUUUGGGAGGCUGAGGCAGGCAGAUCACUUGAGGUCAGGAGUUUGAGACCAGCCUGGCCAACAUGGUGAAACCCCGUCUCUACUAAAAAUACAAAAAUUACCUGGGCAUGGUGGCAGGCACCUGUAAUCCCAGCUACUUGGGAGGCUGAGGCACAAGAAUUGCUUGAACCCAGGAGGUGGAGCUUGCAGUGAGCCGAGAUCACACCAUUGCAAAUCCAGCGUGGACGACAGAGCGAGACAGUCUCAAAAAAACAAAACAAAACAAAAACUGCUCCUGUGAGCAGUAACUUUCCCAUUUCCCAGAUGAGGAAAUUGAGGCUCACGCCUCAGUUUGGUUCUGAGCCCCACCUAAGGCUGCCCAGCCCCAGGGACAUCUCUGACCAAAGGGCCUCUGUUCCCUUUGUGCCAGUUAGAGGGACCCCUUCCUUAAAAGAUGGAAAUACAGGAGUGGAGAUUGGUGAUGGUGGUUGCUACUCCAUGCCUGAUAAAAGCCAUUCUUACUGUCAUUGUUUAACUCUGGGCCCACAAGGAAGCCAGCAGCAGGUCAUUUUGCCACAGGAAGGUGUAGGCCCGAGUGAGUCUCCAGGCUGGAGUCCAGAGAGUCCAAGAGAGUGCCCUGAAGUCACACAGCCAGUUUGUGCAGGAGCUGAGAUGGGCCCCCACACCCACCUCAGACCAAGGGCUGGGGGUUUUGCCUUCUGUCCUGUGGGGGCCUCCUCCAGGGCAGAGGCACUUUUACCAUGUCAAGGGAGGACGCUCCUGGCCUAGGACAGACCCUAGGGGGUAGGCUGGGGCCCUGUACCGAAGCAAGGGGUUUUCAAGGCUGCCACCCGGGGCUCAUGGCCCUUGGCCUCUCUGGGAGGGAGGAGCCCCGGCCAUCCCCCCCCUCGUGGAUGUAACUGGUUUUCUUCCCUCUCUCUCCCUCCCCUCCUCUCUGCAUCUUUCUCUCUCUCCUGUGUUUGCCUCUCUGUCCCGCCCCUGCGCAUCCCUCCCUGUGCCCACCCUGUUUCUGUCGCCUGCGGCUCUUGGGGGUGCUCCAUUCUCCCGCCUUCCCUUCUCCUGCACCUGGUCCUGCCUGCUUUCUCGCUGUCUGCCCCAGGAGGUAGGUACACGACCUGUCUUUGUCUCCCAUCACUAGACGAGGGGAGGGGGCUGCCCUGGCGCCCUGGCCUCCUGCCCACAGGAGGAGGGGGCUGGGGGCUCAGGCUCCUGGGCUGGGACUGACAGACUCAGAAAAUGUGGAGCCCCAAGCUGGGGGUGGACGAUUCCUGGAGCCCCAACAUGCCUGGCCCUGCUUGUCUGUCUCCCCCAAUGCAGCGGCUUUGUCUAGGCCCCAGGAGCCCCACCUCUACUGCUCUUGCUCUGCUUCUCACGCCCCUCCCAUCUCCCAGAGGCCCUGUCCCCCUGUUGAGCCCAGGCCCCCUCCCACCCCUUCCCUUUCAGGGGGCCGGGUGAAGACGUGGAAGCGGCGCUGGUUUAUCCUCACAGACAACUGCCUGUACUACUUUGAGUACACCACGGACAAGGAGCCCCGAGGAAUCAUCCCCCUGGAGAAUCUGAGCAUCCGAGAGGUGGACGACCCCCGGAAACCGAACUGCUUUGAACUUUACAUCCCCAACAACAAGGGGCAGCUCAUCAAAGCCUGCAAAACUGAGGCGGACGGCCGAGUGGUGGAGGGAAACCACAUGGUGUACCGGAUCUCGGCCCCCACGCAGGAGGAGAAGGACGAGUGGAUCAAGUCCAUCCAGGCGGCUGUGAGUGUGGACCCCUUCUAUGAGAUGCUGGCAGCGAGAAAGAAGCGGAUUUCAGUCAAGAAGAAGCAGGAGCAGCCCUGACCCCCUGCCCCCAACUCCAUUAUUUAUUACGGAGCUGCCCCGCCUGGGUGGCCGGACCCCUGGGCCUUGGGGCUGUGGAUCCUGGUUCCCUGUUUGGAAAAUUCACCACCUCUAGCUCCUCACUGUUCUUUGUAAUUAACACGCUGUUGGUAAUCUUAUUAAUUAUUUAACC